AAUAAUUCUUUAUUAUAAUAUUUUUGAAUAGAACUAAAGUGAGAUAUUAGGGAAUCUCUGCUGAGUUGAAACUCGGUUAACGGGAGCUGCCCCGCAACUGUAAUCGGCGACGAAAUCUGCAAAAUGCCACUGUCCAGCCCUUUCUUAGGAAAGAGCGAGAUGGGAAGGCGUAGAAAGUAGGAAGACCCGAAAGCCAGGAGACCUAUCUUACACGUUUUUCUAAA
rnacentral:ncRNA from 2 species